GUGUGUGUGUGUACACCCCAGAAACACACAUGUGCUGAUAGAAAACAGAUUUCAAAGGUACCUUGAAUAAUAGCUUUUUAAGACGGUGUUGCAGUCACAUAACUUGUUGGGAAAAGCACACCAUGGCUCACAAUCUGAAUUAAACAUGUGUCAUUGUGGCUAAGAAAAAAUCUACUACCUUCUACAAACCUGAUAUCUUGGACCAAAUCCUUCUCAGAACAGGUUGCCUGCUGCCCUUUUCAMAAUCAAGCUAUCAGAAGAUGCCCUUCAGCAGAAGUGUUAAAAGGACUUGGUGAGCUUAGCAUGUUUCGUCUGCUUAAUUUAAUUUGGAAAAAUUCAACCAGAAAAUGAAGUUAUUAACAGGUUGGUACAUUCAGAGAUAAGAUGAUGUCACAGGAAAGCAGUCAAGUGGGCUGCUUGUCAAAAUAUAAAAUAUGUAUCUGUCAGAAUCAAAUGAUAGAUAAGCUACGGCUGGGUGUAGGAUGCAGUGAAAAUAGUAUGCUAAAAAUUGAAACUGAAUCCCACCAGUCUGGAGCACAUGCUUUUAGUAACUAUUGUGGCGAUUGGAGCUAUAACAAUCCUGGGGACAUGAACUGCACGUUUUACGUGUAAGAUGUGCAAUUUCUUGCUGCUGGUACCCAAAAGCAACUGCCUCAACUGUAGACMUCAAACAGGCAAGGAGAGAUCUUGAAAGCAUGGAUGUUUCUACAAAUGACCAUGCUCAAAAUGCUGCUCAAAAUUGGGAUUAAUGAAUCUUUUCUUAGGUAACUUGGAGAUGUUUAAGGCCUUAA